rnacentral:rRNA from 1 species
AGAUUUGAUCCUGGCUCAGGACGAACGCUGGCGGCGUGCUUAACACAUGCAAGUCGAACGGAAAGGCCCUUUCGGGGGUACUCGAGUGGCGAACGGGUGAGUAACACGUGGGUGAUCUGCCCUGCACUUCGGGAUAAGCUUGGGAAACUGGGUCUAAUACCGGAUAGGACUACGGCCUGCAUGGGUUGUGGUGGAAAGCUUUUGCGGUGUGGGAUGGGCCCGCGGCCUAUCAGCUUGUUGGUGGGGUGAUGGCCUACCAAGGCGUCGACGGGUAGCUGGUCUGAGAGGACGAUCAGCCACACUGGGACUGAGACACGGCCCAGACUCCUACGGGAGGCAGCAGUGGGGAAUCUUGCGCAAUGGGCGGAAGCCUGACGCAGCAACGCCGCGUGGAGGAUGAAAUCCCUUGGGAUGUAAACUCCUUUCGAUAGGGAAGAUAAUGACGGUACCUAUAGAAGAAGCCC